UUUUUAAACGAAAAAUAUUGAAUAUUUAAAGAUUAAAUAUCGCUUUAAGAUGAGCUUAUGCAGGAUUAGGUAGUUGGUGGGGUAAUAGCCUACCAAGCCUAUGAUCCUUAGCUGAUCUGAGAGGAUGGUCAGCCACACUAGAACUGAGACAAGGUCUAGGCUUAUGCCAGCAGUGGGGAAUCUUGGACAAUGGGCGAAAGCUUGAUCCAGUAAUAUUGCAUGAAUGAGGACAGCACAAAAGAUUUGGGAGUUUUCUCUCAAGUCGGCUGUAAAAUUCUUUCGCUGGUGAGGAUAAUGACUGUAACCAGAGAAGAAGCUCCGGCUAACUUCGUGCCAGCAGCCGCGGUAAUACGAAGGGAGCAAGCGUUAUCCUAAAUGAUUGGGCGUAAAGGGUUCGUAGGUGGUAAUUGUUGUCAUAUGUGAAAUUUUAAAAUAAUAUUUUAAAUCGGCGUAUGAUACUCUUUUACUUGAGUAUAUUAGGGGAUAACAGAAUGUUAUAUGGAGGAGUAAAAUCUUAUGAUCUAUAAUGGAAUGCCAGCGGCGAAAGCGGUUAUCUGGGAUAUAUACUGACACUGAGGANCGAAUGCGUGGGGAGCAAACAGGAUUAGAUACCCUGGUAGUCCACGCUGUCAAAGAUGAGUGCUACCAUUGGAGUUAUUCAGAUGUAUAGUCCACACGNUAAGCACUCCGCCUGGGGAGUACGAUCGCAAGAUUGGAACUCAAAGGAAUUGACGGGGAUCUACACAAGUGGUGGAGCAUGUGGUUUAAUGCGAUAAUACACGCGGAAUCUUACCAGUUCUUGAAUAUAAUUUUGACAAUAUUAAUAUUAUUGUUUAUUGACAAAGUAUCACACUUUUAUAAUAAAAUUAUACAGGUGUUGCAUGGCUGUCGUCAGCUCGUGCCGUGAGGUGUUCGGUUAAGUCCUUUAACGAGCGAAACUCUUAUUUUAUGUUGGUAAUUUGAAGUCUGAAAAGAUUUUAAUCCACUCAUAAAAAACUGCUAGUGAUAAACUAGAGGAAGGUGAGAACGACGUCAAGCCCUUAUGGCCCUUAUGAACUGGGCUACGCACGUGCUACAAUGGUAAUUACAAAAAGUUAUACAAUGGAGAAAUUCGGAGUAAAUCUUUAAAAGUUACCGUGUUCAGAUUAUAGGCUGCAACUCGCCUAUAUGAAGGUGGAAUCACAAGUAAUCGUAAAUCAGAAUGUUACGGUGAAUUUGUACUUAGAUCUUGCACACACCGCCCGUCACAUGCCGGAAGUGAAUUUUGUUCGAAAUUUUGAAAAGAUAUAUCUAU
rnacentral:rRNA from 1 species